rnacentral:rRNA from 1 species
UACGUAGGGUGCGAGCGUUGUCCGGAAUUAUUGGGCGUAAAGAGCUCGUAGGCGGCUUGUUGCGUCGACUGUGAAAACCCGCGGCUCAACCGUGUGGCUUGCAGUCGAUACGGGCAGGCUAGAAUUCGGUAGGGGAGACUGGAAUUCCUGGUGUAGCGGUGAAAUGCGCAGAUAUCAGGAGGAACACCGGUGGCGAAGGCGGGUCUCUGGGCCGAUAUUGACGCUGAGGAGCGAAAGCGUGGGGAGCGAACAGG